rnacentral:rRNA from 1 species
AACUCGAGUUGAUCCUGCUCGAGGCUACUGCUAUUGGGGUUUGACUAAGACAUGCAUGUCCAUCCCAUCCGGCAAGGAUGGGAGGCGCACAGCUCAGUAACACGUGGACAACCUGCCUUAAGGAAGAGGAUAACCUCGGGAAACUGAGGACAAUACUCUAUAGACGGCAAGCUCUGGAAUGACUGCCGCCCAAAUGUUGCAAGCUAUUGCCGCUUGCAUUCGCCUUAAGAUGGGUCUGCGGCGGAUUAGGUUGAUGGCGGGGUAAUGGCCCACCAUGCCUUUGAUCCGUACCGGCAUUGAGAGAUGGGGCCGGGAGAUGGAUACUGAGACAAAGAUCCAGGUCCUACGGGACGCAGCAGUCGCGAAAUCUUCGCAAUGCGCGAAAGCGUGACGAGGGAACCCCAAGUGCCAGGGCAAAACCCUGGCUUUUCUGAAGUGCAAAAAGCUUCAGGAAUAAGGGCUGGGUAAGACUGGUGCCAGCCUCCGCGGUAACACCAGCAGCUCAAGUGGUGGCCACGUUUAUUGGGCUUAAAGCGUCCGUAGUCGGUUUUGCAAGUCUUCUGUGAAAUCCUGCAGCUUAACUGUAGGAAUAGCAGAAGAUACUACAAGGCUUGAGGCCGGAAGGGGGAUGGGGUAUUCCAUGGGUACCGGUGAAAUGGUAUAAUCCAUGGAAGACCACCUGUGGCGAAGGCGCCAUCCUAGAACGGGCCUGACGAUGAGGGACGAAAGCUAGGGGAGCAAACCGGAUUAGAUACCCGGGUAGUCCUAGCCGUAAACGAUGCGGACUUAGUAUUGCCGAAGCCUCGAGCUACGGCAGUGCUGUAGGGAAACUGUCAAGUCCGCCGCCUGGGGAGUAUGGUCGCAAGGCUGAAACUUAAAGGAAUUGGCGGGGGAGCACCACAAGGGGUGGAUGCUGCGGUUUAAUUGGAUACAACCCCGGAAAACUUACCAGGGGCGACGGCACCAUGAAGGUCAGGCUGAAGGUCUUGCCGGAGGAGCCGAGAGGUAGUGCAUGGCCGUCGUCAGCUCGUACCGUGAGGCGUACGGUUAAGUCCGUUAACGAGCGAGACCCGUGCCCAUAUUUGCCAACUGAUUCUACGGAGUCGGAGCACUAUAUGGGGACCGCUGGCGAUGAGUCAGAGGAAGGCGCGGUCGACGGUAGGUCUGUAUGCUCCGAAUCUCCUGGGCUACACGCGGCAUACAAUGGCACAGACAAUGGGUUGCCACCCCGAAAGGGGAAGCUAAUCUCUAAACUGUGUCUUAGUCUGGAUCGAGGGUUGCAACUCACCCUCGUGAAAAUGAAAUCCCUAGUAAUCGCUUUUCACCAUAAAGCGGUGAAUAUGUCCCUGCUCCUUGCACACACCGCCCGUCACACCAACCGAGUGAACUCUAGGUGAGGCAACCUCUAGCUGGGGCUGUCGAAUCUGGGGUCUGCAAGGGGGGUGAAGUCGUAACAAGGUAGCCGUAGGGGAAUCUGCGGCUGGAUCACCUCCA